UACGUAGGGUGCGAGCGUUAAUCGGAAUUACUGGGCGUAAAGCGUGCGCAGGCGGUCUGUUAAGACCGAUGUGAAAUCCCCGGGCUUAACCUGGGAACUGCAUUGGUGACUGGCAGGCUUUGAGUGUGGCAGUGGGAGGUAGAAUUCCACGUGUAGCAGUGAAAUGCGUAGAGAUGUGGAGGAAUACCGAUGGCGAAGGCAGCCUCCUGGGCCAACACUGACGCUCAUGCACGAAAGCGUGGGGAGCAAACAGG
rnacentral:rRNA from 1 species